GCAGCUUUGACUUGUGCUGGGUGUAAGGUGCAUGCAGUUCUUUCAGAAAGCUCAGCCUUUGGAGCACAUUUGCAUAUAUCUAAGUGUGAAUGUAGAUGGACAGCAUGUAUUCUUCUUUUACAGUCAUUACAUACUGACAAGCCCAAAUAUGAUGAAAUCUUGAGUUUGCAAAUCACAUCGUCAUCAGAUUUGGCGAGAAAGUGAGAAAGUCUACAACUUAAGGAGGAAUCCCAUUGCCAAGCAAAAGACAACAACAAGUUUGAGGGUCGCAGGCAUGGUGGUGCCUAUCCCAGCUAUCUUUGGGCGAGAGGUGGAAUACACCCUGAACCUGAACUGGUCGCCAACCAAUCGAAGUAUACAAUCGACAAGAGGCUUUUGGAUCGCGAGCUGGACGGAGUUCGGCGGAGGGCUGGGUCGCCGCGCACUUGGAGGAAGAGCCCCGGUGACCAGCCAAACCAAGGCAGAUCCCAUGUUGCCGGUCUCAACCCACUGGCUAGCAUCACCACGGAUGAACCCAUGCAACUGGGCAGGUUCCGUCUCUCCCCUGAGGAACGUCAACGGCAGCUGAGGGAGGGGCGGUGCUUUUACUGCGGACAGUUGGGUCAUUCCGUGACCAACUGUCACGUCAAAGUUGCCGGUGCCGGUAGCAAGGGCACGGGAGAGGUGAGUCUGAAUUUCAUUAAGGAAGACCCUACACGGGUUCUUCCUAAAGUGACACUAUGCUCUCCUGAUCAAGAAAUUCAUACACCUGUAUUAAUUGACUCUGGUUCUGACGCAAACUUACUCAACUCCAUCCUCGUUAGACGUAUGACCUUAGAACCUUUGAAAUAAAACGCCACCUCAACACCUAUGCUGCAGACGGCAGUUUUAUGGGCAAGGUCACUCACCGCACCCAAACACUCACAUUGACAUUUCCUGAUUCUCACUCGGAACGCAUUAGUUUUCAUGUUUUUGACGCCAUGAAUCAUGACCUUAUCUUAGGGAACCCAUGGUUGAAAUUACAUAACGCCCACAUUGACUGGUCCUCUGGGCAGGUUAUGUCAUGGGGCAGCAAUUGCGCCCAGAACUGUUUCAAGCCUCCAUGCGAUGUCCAGGGCUAUGUUUCAAACGAAAAUCCACAGACCCCAUCUGGGGAUACUGACUUAUCUCAGGUGCCCACGUGUUACCAGGACAUUAAAGACGUUUUUUCCAAGUCCAAGGCCAAAUCUCUUCCACCCACAAACCUUAUGACUGUGCAGUUGACUUGCUGCCUGGAACCACACCUCCAUGAGGGAGGUUGUUCUCUUUCAGGGCCGGAACAGAAGGCUAUGAAGGAGUAUGUGGAUGAAUCACUGAGCACAACUGCAGGAGCCGGAUUUUUCUUUGUGGACAAGAAGGACAAGACUCUGCAACCCUGUAUCGAUUAUUGGCGUCUCAACGGCAUAACCGUGAAAAACAGCAGUUACUGCAGAAUGAACUAUAUGUCAAGGCUGAGAAAUGUGAGUUCCACAAGGCGUCUGAGAUGAAUUACAGCGGAGACUGAGAGCCAGGCCUUCUCAUCCAACAUCACUGUGUGACCUCUCAAAUACGCUUCUGGACGAACUGUCAAAAAUUCCCUACACACACUCCUAAACCUUGUGGAAAGCCUUUUCAGAAGAAUUAAAGCUGUUAUAUUGGUAAAGGGUGAGAUCAUAUUGAAGCCGAUUGAUUAAGAAGGGGAUGUCACUUCAGAUCAUAGACUGUAUGACUCAAGGCAGGUAAGCGAAUAUUUUUGUCAUAGUCCACCUGCACGCCGAAACACACACACACAAACACACGCACACACACUGAAUAUUCAUGGCUCAAUAGGGCCCUCUUGUGACAACCAAUACAGAUCAAAGUUGCGGAGUUCAUUUGGCUUGCGUGGCAAACUUUGUUUUAAAACUGCAACAUGGAACCUUAUUCCACAACAACCAUAGUUUUUCAUAUUCAUAUAUAUAUAAAAUAAGAUAAUGGCUCUUGUGUGUUACACAAUUUUCUCUUUAUUUGUAAUAAUACAGGACUGGAUUAUUACAGUUACAUUGAGAGGGGACCUGCUGCCGCUUAAACUUUGCUGGAGACUGCAUCGUUGUCACUUUUAUUUUCUAUCAACUAAUUGUGAAAGUGUACU